GCUUGUCUCAAAGAUUAAGCCAUGCAUGUCUAAGUAUAAAUGUUAUACAGUGAAACUGCGAAUGGCUCAUUAAAACAGUUAUAGUUUAUUUGAUAAUCGAAUUUACAUGGAUAACCGUGGUAAUUCUAGAGCUAAUACAUGCUGGUUAGCCUGACUUCGAGGAAGGGCUGUAUUUAUUAGAUAACAAACCAAUAUUCUUCGUGUCUAUUGUGAUGACUCAUAAUAACUGAUCGAAUCGCAUGGUCCUUGACCGCGAUAAAUCAUUCAAGUUUCUGCCCCAUCAGCUUUCGAUGGUAGUGUAUUGGACUACCAUGGCGUUCACGGGUAACGGAGAAUUAGGGUUCGAUUCCGGAGAGGGAGCCUGAGAAACGGCUACCACAUCUAAGGAAGGCAGCAGG
rnacentral:rRNA from 1 species